UACGUAGGGUGCAAGCGUUGUCCGGAAUUAUUGGGCGUAAAGAGCUCGUAGGCGGUUUGUCGCGUCGGCUGUGAAAACUCGGGGCCCAACCCCGAGCCUGCAGUCGAUACGGGCAAACUAGAGUGCUGUAGGGGAGACUGGAAUUCCUGGUGUAGCGGUGAAAUGCGCAGAUAUCAGGAGGAACACCGGUGGCGAAGGCGGGUCUCUGGGCCGUAACUGACGCUGAGGAGCGAAAGCGUGGGGAGCAAACAGG
rnacentral:rRNA from 1 species